AGCCUUCUGUAUUCGUGCUGACAUUUCGUUACACACUAGACCACAAAGGCUGAUGAGACUCAUUAGUACUGGAGAAACU
rnacentral:pre_miRNA from 1 species